rnacentral:lncRNA from 1 species
GUAACCCUCUAAGUACAGUAACGUAAACCAGAAGAAUGUGAUUCUGAUGACACUCUUAUCCCAUCCUGUGAACAAACGUUCGGGAGAAGUGAAAGAACCCCAUGGGAUAAAAGGCCCCCUUCUCCAUCAUGAAAAUGUAUCAGUUAAGAAAGUGCCUGCAUCUGGAGUCCUCUGAGCCCCCCACAGAUACAAGUCGAGGGCCGACUUUCCUGUUUGUCCUUUUCUUCCCAUGGAAACAGAAUCCACAGUGGAGCAAAGAUGGUCCUGGAUGCCUUAAGAGGGAAACGUUGAACACCACAUAAAUAAAGGUUGACUUGGUGCAGAAGUGUACAGUGCCAUGUCCCUGCAUCUUCAUGGAGAAAUGUAUUCUUUCCACAUGAGAAGCAACACCGUCCAUGGUAAGCCCAGCAAAGCCCAGCACAUGGCCAAUACUCUCUUUGUUCAAUCCCUUCCCCUAACUCCCUUGCUUUCACUAAUCAAGAUCUUUAAGAAAUACGUUGAGUUAAACCUUCA